GACGAACGCUGGCGGCGGGCCUAAUACAUGCAAGUCGAGCGGUGAAGGUGGGUUUGUGCACCAAUUUGGAGAGCAGCGAACGGGUGAGUAACGCGAGGGGAAUCGGCCGUGGAGGGGGGGGCAACAUUAGGGGAGGAAUGCUAGUACCGCUUAACAGCGUGAAAGAUGAGGUUUAUGGUAGAAAGAUGCAAUUGCAGAACCCAAAGAGGAUCCCCCUUUGUAUUAGCUAGUUGGUGAGGUAAAGGCCUACCAAGGCGACGAUCCGUAGCUGGUCUGGGAGGAUGAUCCGUCACACUGGAACUGAGACACGCUCCAGACUCCUACGGGAGGCAGCAGUGGGGAAUAUUGGACAAUGGGCGAAAGCCUGAUCCAGCCAUGCCGCGUGUGUGAAGAAGGUCUUCGGAUUUUAAAGCACUUUGAGUUGGGAGGAAGGGCAGUAAGUUAAUACCUUGCUGUUUUGACGUUACCAACAGAAUAAGCACCGGCUAACUUCGUG
rnacentral:rRNA from 1 species